UUUAAGUACAACCAUGAGUUUUCGUGUCUAAUUUUGAUCGUCCGUCUAAUUUGAAAUUUUUUUAAUUAGUAUUUUUGUUGUUAUGAGAUGUAAAAUGUGAAUAACAAUUUAUACGUGAUUUAUAUUUUUAAUUUUUUUUCAAAAAAUUUUCAAAUAAGGUGAACGAUCAACUAGUUGAGUACGGAAAAGCAUGACUGUACUUAAA
rfam:Oryza glaberrima chromosome 7 Oglab07_0083_6, whole genome shotgun sequence.